UAGGGAAUCUUCCACAAUGGACGAAAGUCUGAUGGAGCAACGCCGCGUGAGUGAAGAAGGUUUUCGGAUCGUAAAACUCUGUUGGUAGAGAAGAACGUUGGUGAGAGUGGAAAGCUCAUCAAGUGACGGUAACUACCCAGAAAGGGACGGCUAACUACGUGCAAG
rnacentral:rRNA from 1 species